UACACUCAUUGACUAUGUAGUAACAGAGUGCAAAAUAAUUACAGUGCUCCAAAAAUAUUAUGCUUAUAGGAUUUUCCUUUCAUAAACAUUUGAGUUUGAGGUUUUCUGGGGAAGUUUUAACAUCCAGUUGUUUCUCCUGUCUGUUGUCUAUGAUCUACAGUGGGGCAAAAUUGUGCAAGUUCACCCACUUAAAAAGAUGAGAGAGGCCUGUAAUUGUCAUCAUCGGUAUACCACACCUAUGACAGACAAAAUGAGAAAAUAAAAAUCCAGAAAAUCACAUUGUCUGAUUUUUUUAAAGAAUCUAUUAGCAAAUUAUGGUGGAAAAUAAGUAUUUGGUCACCUACAAAAAAGCAAUAUUUGGCUCUCACAGACCUGUAACUUCUUCUUUAAGAGGCUCCUCUGUCCUCCACUAGUUACCUAUAUUAAUGGCACCUAUUUGAACUCGUUAUCCGUAUAAAAGACACCUGUCCACAACCUCAAACAGUCACACCCCAAACUCCACUAUGGCCAAGACCAAAGAGCUGACAAAGGACACCAGAAACAAAAUUGUGGACCUGAACCAGGUUGGGAAGACUGAAUCUGCAAUAGGUAAGCAGCUUGGUUUGAAGAAAUCAACUGUGGGAGCAAUUAUUAGAAAAUGGAAGACAUACAAGACCACUGAUAAUCUCCCUCGAUCUGGGGCGCCACGCAAGAUCUCACACCGUGGGGUCAAAAUGAUCACAAGAACGGUGAGCAAAAAUACCAGAACCACACGGGGAGACCUAGUGAAUGACCUGCAGAGAGCUGGGACCAAAGUAACAAAGGCUACCACCAGUAGCACACUACGCCGCCAGGGACUCAAAUCAUGCAGUGCCAGACGUGUCCACCUGCUUAAGCCAGUACAUGCCAGGCCCGCCUGAAGUUUGCUCUUGGAUGAUCCAGAAAAGGAUUGGGAGAAUGUCAUAUGGUCAGAUGAAACCAAAAUAGAACUUUUUGGUAAAAAACUCAGCAUGUUGUGUUUGGAGGAGAAGGAAUGCUGAGUUGCAUCCAAAGAACACCAUACCUACUGUGAAGUCUGGUUGGGGGGGAUGACGACAUCAUGCAUUGGGGCUGUUUUUCUGCAAAGGGAUCAGGACAACUGAUCCGUGUAAAAGAAAGAAUGAAUGGAAGCAUGGCUCGUGAGAUUUUGAGUAAAAACCUCCUUCCACCAGAAAGGGCAUUGAAAAUGAAACAUGGCCGGGUCUUUCAGCAUGACAAUGAUCCCAAACACACCGCCCGGGCAACAAAGGAGUGGCUUCGUAAGAAAAAAUUUCAAGCUCCUGGAGUGACCUAGCCAGUCUCCAGAUCCCAAUCCCAUAGAAAAUCUUUGGAGGGAGUCGAAAGUCUGUGUUGCCCAGCAAUAGCCCCGAAACAUCACUGCUCUAGAGGAGAUCUGCAUGGAGGAAUGGGCCAAAAUACCAGCAACGCUGUGUGAAAACCUUGUGAAGACUUACAGAAAAUGUUUGACCUCUGUCAUUGCCAACAAAGGGUAUAGAGCAAAGUAUUGAAUUAACUUUUGUUAUGAACCAAAUACUUAUUUUCCAACAUAAUUUGCUCAUAAAUUCUUUAAAAAUCAAAUGUGAUUUUCUGGAUUUUCUUUUUUUUCCCCUUGUCAUUUUGUCUCUAAUAGGUGAGAUAUACCUAUGAUGAAAAUUACAGGCCUCGCUCAUCUUUUUAAGUGGGAGAACUUGCACAAUUGUUGGCUGACUAAAUACUUUGUUGCCCCACUGUAAAUCUUGGAUAAGUUUGAUAAUCAUUUUCCCUGCUGAAAUGGAAAUUACUGAAGGAAUAUGUUCCACAUGAUUAAGCAAGUCACAGUAUUUACAGUAGUGAUGCACUGAAAUGAAAAUUCUUGACCAAAAACGAAAAUGUCGAAUGUCGAAACACCGGAAGAAAUUAUCAAUCAAAAACUUUAUUUGUAAGCACUUUUCAUACAAAGAAAUUGCAACACAAACUUUAAAAUAUAAAAAUAAAUCAAGCCCACCAAUUAUUAACUCAUUUAGUGCCACGGACGUAUUAAUACGUUUUCAUGAACCCAUCCGUUUAGUGCCACGGGCGUAUUAAUACGUUUUCAGUGUUAUUUUUAAUCAUAUCAUAAUAGAGGGUUUGGCGCAGCUCCACAUGUAUCUAAGGGUUGGGAAGGAUUUUAGUAUGUUAAAUCGACACCAGAGGGCAGCAGUAGCUUUGAUCAGAAUUUUGUCAAAACGUCAGAGGAAAACUGUAUCCCUCUGAUUAUAUUACUAUGACUGUGACUAUAUCUGACAGUGGAGCGUUGCAGGGGUGUGGUUGAGAGAGAGAGAGAGAGAGAGAGAGAGAGAGAGACAUGGUGAGCCAGUUAGAGCAAAAAACAAUGGAUGAAUACAGACGGUUUACUCUAAAACAGAGUUUUGCUAACAUCAAAAAGGAUUAUGUACCAUCAUCAUUCUUUUCCCAAAAAAGAACGAGAUGACGCUAUGACAAUGAACAUAGUGUAACGCUGGUCGCGUCGAGCUUUCGAAGGCCCGCGGUAAGAUCGCUACCAUAUCCCGAUCCACUUCCCCCAAAACGAGGACUGCCAUCGGACGUCCGGAAUCAGAUUACAAUGAGCCUGAUCCGGGUUAACAUCUGGGAGUAGCAGGGCGUCCUUCAUAAGCCCGCAGGAAGUCACCGACGAGUUGGUGCAACCAGCAGCAGAUGCACUCCCACACCUGUUGGCAAGAAAAGGAGGUGCAUCAAGCAGUGGUGGGGCUGUUCAUGGCUGGUCGUCUGCUGACUGGGAACCCUCAAAAGUCCCACACGCACGUACCCAAACAUG